AGUGAACGCUGGCGGUAGGCCUAACACAUGCAAGUCGAACGGCAGCACAGUAAGAGCUUGCUCUUACGGGUGGCGAGUGGCGUACGGGUGAGGAAUACAUCGGAAUCUACUUUUUCGUGGGGGAUAACGUAGGGAAACUUACGCUAAUACCGCAUACGACCUACGGGUGAAAGCAGGGGAUCUUCGGACCUUGCGCGAUUGAAUGAGCCGAUGUCGGAUUAGCUAGUUGGCGGGGUAAAGGCCCACCAAGGCGACGAUCCGUAGCUGGUCUGAGAGGAUGAUCAGCCACACUGGAGGUGAGACACGGUCCAGACUCCUACGGGAGGCAGCAGUGGGGAAUAGUGGACAAUGGGCGCAAGCCUGAUCCAGCCAUACCGCGUGGGUGAAGAAGGCCUUCGGGUUGUAAAGCCCUUUUGUUGGGAAAGAAAAGCAGCAGGUUAAUACCACGCUGUUGUGACGGUACCCAAAGAAUAAGCACCGGCUAACUUCGUG
rnacentral:rRNA from 1 species